UCAAGACUUUACCUCCUCACCUGAACAGGGUGACUACGAUGUUGUGUGAUGGCAAUCUAAAAAUCCUUUCACUUUCCCAUCUGUUUUGGAGAGAAACUAUAGUCUCACAAAAUGGUGGUGGCUUUGUCAGGAAGAAGAAUGCAGAGAGGGAAGAGAGGGAAUGUGAAUGGACAUAAAUAAAAGCAUGGACGAAGCACCAGGGCAGCAGCAACAGGAAGAAACUGGGAGAAGACAUGAUCCAUCAAGCCUAUGACUGGGCUCACCACCUCCCCUGGGGAGAGCUGGCAGUGCCUUGGACUUGGACAGACGUGCCCAGCUCCACCUCAUGCCAGCUGCAUCACUCACUGCUAGAACUACAGAAAACGGCCUGGUACUCAGUAGCUGCACACCCAGCCCUGGCCGCAGAGUGCACUCAGCCCACCUCUUCAGCCAUCUCCAGCAGGGCCUUGUUGCUGCUCUCCCACCGGGACCGGUACAUGGUGGUUUCUUUCUCCAGCUUCUUGAUCUUCUUAGUCAUCUGGGUUAUGUGACAGGCAGAGGAAAUGGUCAGGGCACAAGCUGUCUGCAUCUGUGUCCCCAAGGUGGGGCAAUGGUCCCAUGGCAGCAGGCAAGGCAGUACAGGACACAGCCACUGCUUCCGGUGCCACCUUAGGACCUCUCAAGUUAAAUGCCCACUGCCAAUAACAGGAAACGGCAAGGCAGUUCCUUCUCCAGGACAACCCGGAAGGUGAGGGAGGAAAGGGUGUGAUUCCUUCUUACAGUCCCUCCCUUGGUGUCAAUCACACUGUUACUGUAAACAGCUCUCAGUGGGCACCCCUGCAGCCAUACCCAGCCUGGGCCAGUGUUACCUUUUCCAUCUCCUGUUUGAAUGUGGUGAACACCUCACUGCUUUUGGAAAGAGUGUUCUGGAACUCCUCGAACUUCUCCGUGUAUAGGGCAAGCUGGGCGAGAAAGAAGCUCACAGUUAAGACCCAACUUCCCUAGAGGGCACUUCUGGUCCACACACUCAGACCCAUGCUUGGCCCUCUGACCCAACAAUUCCAAGAUUCCAUUUUUCUUCAUGUAAGCCUAGAAAGCAGGAUUUGGGGUGACAUGUUUUUUUUUUUUUUUAUGUUUGUCUUCAAAUGUUUCUUCCAGAAUUACAUAUAAUUUAUAGAAUUAAAACCAACCAUCUGUCCCCACCCCCUCAAAAGCAGCAGAACUUCCGACUAGGAAUGAAGUCCUUCAAGCUCACCUAGCCACCUGGUCACCACCACACAGGUGCUGGGCGGGUCCAGAGAGAACAGACUCAGCAAGGUCACAUAGCAUUCAAGGUAGUCCUAGAAUGAGGGUCCCAUUGCCCUGUCCCCAGGACGGGUCCCAAUGUGACCUUGGAGGCACAGGGUCAAGAUAUACAUUGUCUCACCUGCUGCUUCAGGUGGGUCUCCUGCUGCUUCAUCAGCUCACACAUCCUCUGGGACUCCACUGCCUCUUUGAGGAGCUAUUUCCAAGAUAGGACAUCAGACCUCGGUAGAAGCCCCAAGGGGCUGUGUGUGUUUUUUGCCAAACACACCAGAACCCACUGAAGUGUCCUGCUCUCUGACUGGUAUCUGAGGAAGCGGUGCCCUGCUCUGGCCAGGCACCAACCUUUCCCACACAAACGUGACUAUGAGCUAAGCCAGAACCCAACCCACCUCUUCCAAGACCCUCCAACCCCAGAGUCUUAGCCUCACAAAAUCCUUCUCCCGCUGGUGCCUCUCCUCUGCCUCCUUCAGCAUCUCCUGGGCCUGCUGGAGCUUGGCGUCCACCAGCUGCUGCUGCAGGUCCUUGUGUUUGAAGACUUUGUCGAUAUGCUGCAGGAAAGCAUGGUGGGAGGGGUCCACCUGUUAGGACCUGCCUUUCCCUUUCUCAGAGAGGCUGGCCUAGUGGCUACAGACUCCAGGGCUCCCUGCCCAGCCUCCCAUCUCAAUCUGACAUGCUGGACUCCCAUGUGUACCAGAGGACACGGGCCCAAGUCCCUGGAAAGCCUACUGUCCAACCUCACCUUAUUUCUCUCCCACUGAGUCAGUCCUGGGUGAGCACAGGGGUUACGGAUGAAAUCAGCUCCCAGGAAGUCAAUUAAUAAAUACUCAAAUCUCCAGCCCCAAGAGAGAUCAAUCCAUGAGGCUAACAACCCUCACUUUUAUAGCCUGACUCCCUUGUAAGUGGGAAGAAAGGGCAAAAACGACACCUCUGCCAACACAACAGCUUAGCUCUAUUGGCAGAGCUCUGCUCAAUCUAUAGGUGAAGAUUUGAUAUCGCAAGGAAUAGCUGUCCUAACUGCAGGAGGAGCCCUGGGAACCAGGACGGGUGAGAGAAGGUGAUGAACUCAAGUGCUACAAAGGUGAAAAA